AUUGAACGCUGGCGGCAUGCUUUACACAUGCAAGUCGAACGGUAACAGGGAGCUUGCUCCGCUGACGAGUGGCGAACGGGUGAGUAAUGUAUCGGAACGUGCCCAGUCGUGGGGGAUAACUACUCGAAAGAGUGGCUAAUACCGCAUACGACCUGAGGGUGAAAGCGGGGGACCGUAAGGCCUCGCGCGAUUGGAGCGGCCGAUAUCAGAUUAGCUAGUUGGUGGGGUAAAAGCCCACCAAGGCGACGAUCUGUAGCUGGUCUGAGAGGACGACCAGCCACACUGGGACUGAGACACGGCCCAGACUCCUACGGGAGGCAGCAGUGGGGAAUUUUGGACAAUGGACGCAAGUCUGAUCCAGCCAUGCCGCGUGCGGGAAGAAGGCCUUCGGGUUGUAAACCGCUUUUGUCAGGGAAGAAACGAGUUUCUCUAAUACAGAGACUUAAUGACGGUACCUGAAGAAUAAGCACCGGCUAACUACGUGCCAGCAGCCGCCGUAAUAC
rnacentral:rRNA from 1 species